UUUGCUGUGAUGAGCUGCUAACAUGUAAGGAGAACUCUGCAAUGCUGAGUUUCUUCGAUGAAAUAUACUUGUUACGCUUGGCUUCUGAGCUUU